GAGGGUACGGCUCAGUGGUAGAGCACGUGCUUUGCAUGCAAGAGGUCCUGGGUUCAAUUCCCAGUACCUCCA